AUAGCGUAUAUUAAAGUUGUUGCAGUUAAAAAGCUCGUAGUUGAACCUUGGGUUUGGUUGGUCGGUCCGCCUCACCGCGUGCACUGAUCCGACCGAAUCUUUCCUUCUGGGGAACCGUAUGCCCUUCACUGGGUGUGCUGGGGAACCAGGACUUUUACUUUGAAAAAAUUAGAGUGUUCAAAGCAGGCCUAUGCUCGAAUACAUUAGCAUGGAAUAAUAGAAUAGGACGUGUGGUUCUAUUUUGUUGGUUUCUAGAGCCGCCGUAAUGAUUAAUAGGGAUAGUCGGGGGCAUCAGUAUUCAAUUGUCAGAGGUGAAAUUCUUGGAUUUAUUGAAGACUAACUACUG
rnacentral:rRNA from 1 species